GAUGAACGCUGGCGGCGUGCCUAAUACAUGCAAGUCGAGCGAACGGACGAGAAGCUUGCUUUUCUGAUGUUAGCGGCGGACGGGUGAGUAACACGUGGAUAACCUACCUAUAAGACUGGGAUAACUUCGGGAAACCGGAGCUAAUACCGGAUAAUAUUUUGAACCGCAUGGUUCAAAAGUGAAAGACGGUCUUGCUGUCACUUAUAGAUGGAUCCGCGCUGCAUUAGCUAGUUGGUAAGGUAACGGCUUACCAAGGCAACGAUGCAUAGCCGACCUGAGAGGGUGAUCGGCCACACGGGAACUGAGACACGGUCCAGACUCCUACGGGAGGAAGCAGUAGGGAAUCUUCCGCAAUGGGCGAAAGCCUGACGGAGCAACGCCGCGUGAGUGAUGAAGGUCUUCGGAUCGUAAAACUCUGUUAUUAGGGAAGAACAUAUGUGUAAGUAACUGUGCACAUCUUGACGGUACCUAAUCAGAAAGCCACGGCUAACUACGUG
rnacentral:rRNA from 1 species